rnacentral:rRNA from 1 species
UACGUAGGUGGCAAGCGUUGUCCGGAUUUACUGGGCGUAAAGGGCGUGCAGGCGGUCUGUUAAGUCUAGGGUGAAAGCUCCCGGCUCAACUGGGAGAGGUCCUUGGAUACUGGCGGACUUGAGGGAGGCAGAGGAGUAUGGAAUUCCCGGUGUAGUGGUGAAAUGCGUAGAGAUCGGGAGGAACAUCAGUGGCGAAGGCGGCCAUCUGGGACAACACUGACGCUGAAGCACGAAAGCGUGGGGAGCAAACAGG